AUGAAAAUGUUUGGAUUAAAGAGAAUCGUCGACGAGAAGGUCGACAAAACCGUCGAUAUGGCCUCAGACAUUGUUAACUGUUUGCUAGACACGUCGUAUAAAGGUGGAUUGUUCUCGAUGAUUAUUGUUACCAUCGUCUGGGUGUCUAUAUUUUUGUAUAUAGCUUUCUAUUAUGCAUACAUGCCGUCUCUUAUGUUCAGCCGUCCGGUUCACAUGCAAUUCAAAUCAUGUUAUAGUAAUAAAGGUUUAUGUGAUUAUCCAUCAGCACAUGUUCAGUUAACCAAAAACCAUCAAUUGUUAAUGAUUGGUCAAAAAUACAAAAUGACUGUUUAUGUUGAGCUACCAGAAUCGCCAGUUAAUGAAGAUAUCGGAAUGUUUAUGCUUUGUGUCCGUCUGGGUGACAAAUAUGGCUAUCUUGUAUCGUCUUCCUGUCGAUCCAGUAGAUUAAGGUACAAAAGCAAACUGUAUCGUAUUAUUCAUACAUUGUUCAUGAUACCAUUUUACCUGACAGGAUUAUCCGCAGAAAAACAAUUAAUCCAGUUAGAAAUGUAUACAGAUUUUGAAGAAGACCAAUUACAUCCAGUUACAGACAUUUACUUUGAGAUGUUAAAUCAUGAUAUUCAAAUUUAUUCUGUCAAGUUAAAUAUUAUUGCUAACUUGGGCGGUUUACGUUACCUUAUGUUUCAUUGGCCGAUAACGUCUGCUUGUCUAGGAAUUGGAUCAAAUCUCCUUUUUGUAUUUUUUGUGUUUUCAAUGUCAUGGCGACAUAUAUAUGGAUCUGAAGUGUAUAAAAAUGAAUCAAAUGAUUUUUUGGAUCGUUCCGAACAUUUGAAUGAAUUUGACUCUGAGGACGAAUCUGAAGAAUCAGAUGAUUUGUGUAAAAAAGGUUUUUUCCCUUAUACAUUUUCAUCUUCCAGCCUAAUGAUUCCUGAGCAAUAAUUAAUUGUCUUAUUUUUAAUUAAAAAUAUUUUGAUUUUCACAACUAAAUUAUGUUUUGAAACUGAUGGGUACUAGAAAAAUUAGAGUAUAGAGUAUAGACUAUUAAACUAUUUCUGUGGUGCUUUUAUUUAGUGUUUUAUGUUAUACCUAAGAUUAGAAUGUUUACUAUUUUAUAUUAUUCCUUUCUUUAUUUUGUUUUAAUUGGUUGUUUUUUAAUAGUUAUAUUUUUUUAGUUUUAUACGCCAUUGUA
rnacentral:misc_RNA from 1 species